AAGUCGUAACAAGGUUUCCGUAGGUGAACCUGCGGAAGGAUCAUUAACUAGUAUUGAAGUCCACGGGGAUCAGGCUUUCCGAAAGGAGGGUGGGGGGAUGUUUGGUUCUCCCUGCUUGGGCAGACUGGAGAGCAUGGUGUAGCCACUUUUGUUGGCUACGUUAUGUUUGGCCUCUGCUGAUCGAGCUUGUCACCUGAAUUCUACUACCCUUGCUUUUUGCGCACCCAUUGUUUCCUCGGUAGGCUUGCCUGCCAGUAGGACCAUUUAAAACCCUUUGUGAUUGCAAUCAGCGUCAGAAACAACGUAAUCGUUACAACUUUCAACAACGGAUCUCUUGGUUCUG
rnacentral:misc_RNA from 1 species